rnacentral:rRNA from 1 species
AGUGAACGCUGGCGGUAGGCCUAACACAUGCAAGUCGAACGGCAGCACAGUAAGAGCUUGCUCUUACGGGUGGCGAGUGGCGGACGGGUGAGGAAUACAUCGGAAUCUACUUUUUCGUGGGGGAUAACGUAGGGAAACUUACGCUAAUACCGCAUACGACCUACGGGUGAAAGCAGGGGAUCUUCGGACCUUGCGCGAUUGAAUGAGCCGAUGUCGGAUUAGCUAGUUGGCGGGGUAAAGGCCCACCAAGGCGACGAUCCGUAGCUGGUCUGAGAGGAUGAUCAGCCAAACUGGAACUGAGACACGGUCCAGACUCCUACGGGAGGCAGCAGUGGGGAAUAUUGGACAAUGGGCGCAAGCCUGAUCCAGCCAUACCGCGUGGGUGAAGAAGGCCUUCGGGUUGUAAAGCCCUUUUGUUGGGAAAGAAAAGCAGCAGGUUAAUACCCCGCUGUUCUGACGGUACCCAAAGAAUAGGCACCGGCUAACUUCGUG